CCUAGGGCGGCAGCAGUAAGGAAUAUUGGUCAAUGGAGGAAACUCUGAACCAGCCAUCCCGCGUGAAGGAUGAAGGGGCUCUGCCUUGUAAACUUCUUUUGUCUGGGGCGAAAAAGCUCGAUUUAUCGAGAACUGACGGUACCAGAAGAAUAAGCACCGGCUAACUCCGUGCCAGCAGCCGCGGUCAUACGGAGGGUGCAAGCAUUAUCCGGAAUCAAUGGGUUUGUAGGGUGCGUAGGAGGCCAAGUGUGAAAGGCUGUGGCUUAACCAUGGAAUUGCCAUUGAUACUGCAGAGCUUGAAUGAGGUUGAGGUUGGCGGAAUGUGACAUGUAGCGGUGAAAUGCUUAGAUAUGUCAUGGAACACCGAUUGCGAAGGCAGCUGACUGGACCUAUAUUGACGCUGAGGCACGAAAGCGUGGGGAGCGAACAGGAUUAGAUACCCCUGUAGUC
rnacentral:rRNA from 1 species